rnacentral:rRNA from 1 species
AGUGAACGCUGGCGGUAGGCCUAACACAUGCAAGUCGAACGGCAGCACAGAGGAGCUUGCUCCUUGGGUGGCGAGUGGCGGACGGGUGAGGAAUACAUCGGAAUCUACUCUGUCGUGGGGGAUAACGUAGGGAAACUUACGCUAAUACCGCAUACGACCUACGGGUGAAAGCAGGGGACCUUCGGGCCUUGCGCGAUUGAAUGAGCCGAUGUCGGAUUAGCUAGUUGGCGGGGGAAAGGCCCACCAAGGCGAAGAUCCGUAGCUGGUCUGAGGGGAUGAUCAGCCACACUGGAACUGAGACACGGUCCAGACUCCUACGGGAGGCAGCAGUGGGGAAUAUUGGACAAUGGGCGCAAGCCGGAUCCAGCCAUACCGCGUGGGUGAAGAAGGCCUUCGGGUUGUAAAGCCCUUUUGUUGGGAAAGAAAUCCAGCUGGCUAAUACCCGGUUGGGAUGACGGUACCCAAAGAAUAAGCACCGGCUAACUUCGUGCCAGCCGCCGCAGUAA